rnacentral:siRNA from 1 species
GUGGACGUGCCGGAGUGGU